UACGUAGGGUGCGAGCGUUGUCCGGAAUUACUGGGCGUAAAGAGCUCGUAGGCGGUUUGUCGCGUCGUCCGUGAAAACUUGGGGCUCAACCCCAAGCUUGCGGGCGAUACGGGCAGACUUGAGUACUGCAGGGGAGACUGGAAUUCCUGGUGUAGCGGUGAAAUGCGCAGAUAUCAGGAGGAACACCGGUGGCGAAGGCGGGUCUCUGGGCAGUAACUGACGCUGAGGAG
rnacentral:rRNA from 1 species